rnacentral:rRNA from 1 species
GUGGGGAAUAUUGGACAAUGGGCGAAAGCCUGAUCCAGCCAUGCCGCGUGAGUGAUGAAGGCCCUAGGGUUGUAAAGCUCUUUCAACGGUGAAGAUAAUGACGGUAACCGUAGAAGAAGCCCCGGCUAACUUCGUGCCAGCAGCCGCGGUAAUACGAAGGGGGCUAGCGUUGUUCGGAAUUACUGGGCGUAAAGCGCACGUAGGCGGAUUGUUAAGUGAGGGGUGAAAUCCCAGGGCUCAACCCUGGAACUGCCUUUCAUACUGGCAAUCUAGAGUCCGGAAGAGGUGAGUGGAAUUCCGAGUGUAGAGGUGAAAUUCGUAGAUAUUCGGAGGAACACCAGUGGCGAAGGCGGCUCACUGGUCCGGUACUGACGCUGAGGUGCGAAAGCGUGGGGAGCAAACAGGAUUAGAAACCCUAGUAGUCC